rnacentral:rRNA from 1 species
AGCGAACGCUGGCGGCAGGCCUAACACAUGCAAGUCGAACGAAGUCUUCGGACUUAGUGGCGGACGGGUGAGUAAUACGUGGGAACGUGCCUUUAGGUUCGGAAUAACUCAGGGAAACUUGUGCUAAUACCGAAUGUGCCCUUCGGGGGAAAGAUUUAUCGCCUUUAGAGCGGCCCGCGUCUGAUUAGCUAGUUGGUGGGGUAAUGGCCCACCAAGGCUACGAUCAGUAGCUGGUCUGAGAGGAUGACCAGCCACAUUGGGACUGAGACACGGCCCAAACUCCUACGGGAGGCAGCAGUGGGGAAUCUUGCGCAAUGGGCGAAAGCCUGACGCAACCAUGCCGCGUGGAUGAUGAAGGUCUUAGGAUUGUAAAAUCCUUUCACCGGUGAAGAUAAUGACUGUAGCCGGAGAAGAAGCCCCGGCUAACUUCGUGCCAGCAGCCGCGGUAACAC